rnacentral:lncRNA from 1 species
CAAUAAAACUAAAACUAAAGUUUACCCAAUUACCCAAUCCAAUAAAACUAAAACUAAAAGACAACCCAAUUUACUAAAGUCUAAAACCCAAUUUAUUUUAAUAAUUUAUAAAUUUUUUAAAUUUUAAAAAUAAAAAAUAAAAAAAAUUCGGGUAUUUUUCGGUAAUUCGGUUAAUUCGGUUAAUUCGGGUAAUUCGGGUAAUUCGGGUAAUUCGGGUAAUUUUUAACCAAAAAUAAAAAAUACAUAAUUUUCGGUUAAUUCGGUUAACCGACCUUAUUAACCGAAAAAAUUUCGGUUCGGUUAAAUUUUUUUAAAAAAAAAUCGGUUCGGUUAACGGUUAAAAUUUUUGGAAGGUCGGUUAAUUCGGUUAUAGUAAUUUCGGGUCGGUUAACCGGUCGGUUAACCGAAUGAACACCCCUAG